rnacentral:tRNA from 1 species
GUCUCUGUGGCGCAGUCAGUUAGCAUGUUUGGCUGUUAACUGAAAGAUUGGUGGUUUGAGCCUACCCAGGGACG